UACGUAGGGUGCGAGCGUUGUCCGGAAUUAUUGGGCGUAAAGGGCUCGUAGGCGGUCUGUUGCGUCGGGAGUGAAAACUCAGGGCUUAACCCUGAGCCUGCUUCCGAUACGGGCAGACUAGAGGUAUGCAGGGGGAGAACGGAAUUCCUGGUGUAGCGGUGAAAUGCGCAGAUAUCAGGAGGAACACCGGUGGCGAAGGCGGUUCUCUGGGCAUUACCUGACGCUGAGGAGCGAAAGCCAGGGGAGCAAACGGG
rnacentral:rRNA from 1 species